AGGCUUAACACAUGCAAGUCGAGCGCCCCGCAAGGGGAGCGGCAGACGGGUGAGUAACGCGUGGGAACGUACCCUUUACUACGGAAUAACGCAGGGAAACUUGUGCUAAUACCGUAUGUGCCCUUCGGGGGAAAGAUUUAUCGGUAAAGGAUCGGCCCGCGUUGGAUUAGCUAGUUGGUGGGGUAAAGGCCUACCAAGGCGACGAUCCAUAGCUGGUCUGAGAGGAUGAUCAGCCACAUUGGGACUGAGACACGGCCCAAACUCCUACGGGAGGCAGCAGUGGGGAAUAUUGGACAAUGGGCGCAAGCCUGAUCCAGCCAUGCCGCGUGAGUGAUGAAGGCCCUAGGGUUGUAAAGCUCUUUCACCGGAGAAGAUAAUGACGGUAUCCGGAGAAGAAGCCCCGGCUAACUUCGUGCCAGCAGCCGCGGUAAUACGAAGGGGGCUAGCGUUGUUCGGAAUUACUGGGCCGUAAAGCGCACGUAGGCGGAUCGAUCAGUCA
rnacentral:rRNA from 1 species